AUUUCAAAUCUUACUCAGAGUCAAGUGGAGGAGUUGAGAAAGGAAAAUAGAGACAGAGAAAUAGCUUUUUCAGCUGGACUGAUGCAAUCUGGCAGUGGAUAUAUUGGUCCUUUUACCACUGAAAUCACACUAACCUACAAGAACGUCUUCACAAACAUUGGGAACGCCUACAACCCAAUUACAGGUAUUUUCACAGCCCCACUGAAAGGAGCGUACAUGUUCAGAGUCUCUGUAUUUGGUUAUGGUGGAACUUCAG